UACGUAGGGUGCAAGCGCUAAUCGGAAUUACUGGGCGUAAAGCGUGCGCAGGCGGCUUUGCAAGACAGAUGUGAAAUCCCCGGGCUUAACCUGGGAACUGCAUUUGUGACUGCAUGGCUGGAGUGCGGCAGAGGGGGAUGGAAUUCCGCGUGUAGCAGUGAAAUGCGUAGAUAUGCGGAGGAACACCGAUGGCGAAGGCAAUCCCCUGGGCCUGUACUGACGCUCAUGCACGAAAGCGUGGGGAGCAAACAGG
rnacentral:rRNA from 1 species